rnacentral:rRNA from 1 species
GACGAACGCUGGCGGCGUGCUUAACACAUGCAAGUCGAACGGAAAGGCCCUGCUUUUGUGGGGUGCUCGCGUCGCGAGCGGGUGAGUAACACGUGAGUAACCUGCCCUUGACGUUGGGAUAUCUUCAGGAAACUGGGGCUAAUGCCGGAUAGCAGCUCCUGCUGCUUGGUGGGGGUUGGAACGUUUAGGCGGUGUGGGAUCGACGGGGGGCUUAUCAGCUGGUUGGUGGAGUAGUGGCUUACCAAGGCUUUGGCGGAUAGCCGGCCUGGGAGGGUGAACGGCGACAUGGGUCCUGAGGGACGGCGCAGACGGCAACGGGAGGCAGAAGGCGGAAGUAUUGCACAGUGGGGCGAAGCCUGUUGAGACAGUGCCCCGUGCGGGAAGACGGCCUAGGGGUGGUAAAGCGCUGUCAGCUGUGACGAAGCGUGAUUGACGGUAAUAGGUAAAGAAGCACCGGCUAACUACGUG